rnacentral:rRNA from 1 species
AUUGAACGCUGGCGGCAUGCCUUACACAUGCAAGUCGAACGGCAGCACGGGGCAACCUGGUGGCGAGUGGCGAACGGGUGAGUAAUGCAUCGGAACGUACCUUUCAGUGGGGGAUAACGUAGCGAAAGUUACGCUAAUACCGCAUAUUCUGUGAGCAGGAAAGCAGGGGAUCGCAAGACCUUGCGCUGAUUGAGCGGCCGAUGUCAGACUAGGUAGUUGGUGAGGUAAAGGCUCAUCAAGGCGACGAUCUGUAGCGGGUCUGAGAGGAUGAUCCGCCACACUGGAACUGAGACACGGUCCAGACUCCUACGGGAGGCAGCAGUGGGGAAUUUUGGACAAUGGGGGCAACCCUGAUCCAGCCAUGCCGCGUGAGUGAAGAAGGCCUUCGGGUUGUAAAGCUCUUUCGGCCGGGAAGAAAUCGCACGGGCUAAUACCCUGUGUGGAUGACGGUACCGGAAUAAGAAGCGCCGGCUAACUACGUGCCAGCCGCCGCAGUAACAC